ACAAUUAUUAAUACAUUUAACAUUUUUACAGGUGGCUAACCUAAGAGAAAAAAUCGAUGCAAGGGUCAAGAGAAAAAUAAUUGAUCUAUACAGAAAUGGUGUUAGGCGAGUUGCUGAAAAGACACAUGGAUGCUUUUGUCUUAAAAGAGCUUUUCUUGGGUCUAGAACUCCCUGAAGAAACUCGAAGACGAUAUUACCCAACAAGAAAAGACCUUGCCAAUCUAAUGUACAAAGCUAAAAGUGAAGGGCAUGAUUCAACAUUAGAUCAAGAGAAUAUCCUUGACCUUAUAGAACAAUGGAAGAUGCAAAAUCCAAAUGACAUUAUAUUUUGUCGUCCAAGUUGCUGCACCACUGAAAACAAACAUCAGACUUUCUUAUUCUGUUACCAAAAGGAUUGGCAACAAAGAUUACUAACGAUCUAUGGAAACCAUAUAACACUUCUUGAUGCUACCUACAGAACAACACGUUAUGCUCUGCCCCUAUUUUUCCUCUGUGUUCGGUCUAAUGUUUGCUACCUGGUGGUUGGGGCUUUUGUUAAUCAAGAAGAAAAUACAGCAAGCAUUAAAGAAGCAUUACAGUUAUUUAAAAACUGGAACAAAGAGUGGAAACCAAAGUGUUUUCUUGUGGAUUUCUGUCAAGAGGAGAUUAAUGCAAUAUAUGAAACAUUUCCAGCAUCGAAAGUCCUGCUCUGUGAUUUCCACCGUGAAAAAGCAUGGACUGAAUAGACCAGAAAAAAAGACCACAAUGUGUAUGAUUUUCGGAAGACCAUCUUGAGCAUGCUUCGUAAAAUAGCACUUGCUCGAACUAUGGAUGAACAUCAAAAUUCUCUAAAAAAUCUGAUAGAAUCAAAAAUUUGGAAGACAUGCAGUGCCCUGAGGCACUGGUUUUCAAACAAGUGGCUACCUGAAAUAGAGAAAUGGGCACAUGUAUACAGAACUGGAGAACUACAGAUUGCAAUACAUACAAAUAAUGGCCUUGAAAGGCAAAAUGAAAUUUUAAAGCACACAUAUAUGGAAGGAUAUAAAAACUGUACACUGAGUGAACUGUUAAUAGUUCUUCAUAAACAUUUCUUCCCAAAUGCACACAAAAAGUAAGUAUGGAUAUAUUAAGUUUUACAAAAUUCAGAUAUGUAAAUC